rnacentral:rRNA from 1 species
GUGAACGCUGGCGGUAGGCCUAACACAUGCAAGUCGAACGGCAGCACAGUAAGAGCUUGCUCUUACGGGUGGCGAGUAGCGGACGGGUGAGGAAUACAUCGGAAUCUACUUUUUCGUGGGGGAUAACGUAGGGAAACUUACGCUAAUACCGCAUACGACCUACGGGUGAAAGCAGGGGAUCUUCGGACCUUGCGCGAUUGAAUGAGCCGAUGUCGGAUUAGCUAGUUGGCGGGGUAAAGGCCCACCAAGGCGACGAUCCGUAGCUGGUCUGAGAGGAUGAUCAGCCACACUGGAACUGAGACACGGUCCAGACUCCUACGGGAGGCAGCAGUGGGGAAUAUUGGACAAUGGGCGCAAGCCUGAUCCAGCCAUACCGCGUGGGUGAAGAAGGCCUUCGGGUUGUAAAGCCCUUUUGUUGGGAAAGAAAAGCAGCAGGUUAAUACCCCGCUGUUCUGACGGUACCCAAAGAAUAAGCACCGGCUAACUUCGUG